rnacentral:rRNA from 1 species
AUUGAACGCUGGCGGCAUGCUUUACACAUGCAAGUCGAACGGUAACAGGCCGCAAGGUGCUGACGAGUGGCGAACGGGUGAGUAAUGCAUCGGAACGUGCCCAGUCGUGGGGGAUAACGCGGCGAAAGCUGCGCUAAUACCGCAUACGAUCUAUGGAUGAAAGCGGGGGACCGUAAGGCCUCGCGCGAUUGGAGCGGCCGAUGUCAGAUUAGGUAGUUGGUGGGGUAAAGGCUCACCAAGCCAACGAUCUGUAGCUGGUCUGAGAGGACGACCAGCCACACUGGGACUGAGACACGGCCCAGACUCCUACGGGAGGCAGCAGUGGGGAAUUUUGGACAAUGGGCGCAAGCCUGAUCCAGCAAUGCCGCGUGCAGGAAGAAGGCCUUCGGGUUGUAAACUGCUUUUGUACGGAACGAAACGGUCCUGGUUAAUACCCGGGGCUAAUGACGGUACCGUAAGAAUAAGCACCGGCUAACUACGUGCCAGCAGCCGCCGGUAA